UCCGGUUUAACACCGGCAGUCUCUUCAGAGUGCCCAACUUAAUGGUGGCAACUAAAGACAAGGGUUGCGCUCGUUGCGGGACUUAACCCAACAUCUUACGACACGAGCUGACGACAGCCAUGCAGCACCUAUCUCCACGUCCCCGAAGGGAAAGCCCUAUCUCUAAGGUUGUCGUGGGAUGUUAAGACCAGGUAAGGUUCUGCGCGUUGCUUCGAAUUAAACCACAUACUCCACCGCUUGUGCGGGCCCCCGUCAAUUCCUUUGAGUUUUAGCCUUGCGACCGUACUCCCCAGGCGGGAUACUUAAUGCGUGAGCUUCGGUACCCAGGAGGUUAACAUCCCGGACACCUAGUAUCCAUAGUUUACGGCGUGGACUAC
rnacentral:misc_RNA from 1 species